AUGUUCAUUUGGAACCUGGUGUUCACUUCUGACGUGGAUACCAGGAUCCUGGUAGACAUCAGGUCCCAAGAAGACACUAGAACCCAGGAGUACAUUAGGCUACAGAUUAAUACCAAGGCACCAGAUGAAUACAAGGCCAACUUGUGGUCAUCAGGCCUGAGAAGUGUCCUUGGGCCCCAGAUGGAUAUCAGGCCCCAGGUGAACAUCCAGCACCCAGAAGAACAUCAAGCUUCAGUGGACAUCAGACCCAAAGUGGACACCCAGUCUGCAGGUGGACAAUCAGGCCCCAGGCACAUAUCAGGCCUUAAGUGGACACCCAGGCCCCAGGUUGAUAUCCAGCUCCCAGGUGAUCACCAGGCCCCAGGAAGACACCAGGCCUUAGGUGAACAACACGAUGCAGUAGGUCAUCAGGCCACAGCUAGAUACAAGUCCCUGGUGAAUAUAAGGCCCCAGUGGGACAUAGAUCUAAGGACCCAGGUGAACAUACAGACCCAAGGUGGAAUUCACCCUGAGGGGAACAUUCGGCCCCACGUGCACAUCAGGCCCCAGUGGAAAGUGAGUGAUAUUGAUGACCUUUCCCCUUUCUCAGCUCCUGCUUCAGGUGCAGAAAUACAGCUAUUUCCAGUGCCAGCUGUUGAGCCAGUGCCAGCACCAGGGAAAGGGCCCCUCCAGGGACAGUGCUGGAGCUAGAGGCAGCUCCAGAGCCCUCCUGCCCCUGCCAUGGGACUGCCCAGAACCACCCCAGUGAGGAGCUGCCUGACUUCAUGGCACCUGCUGUAGAUCCACCAGCCUCAGCUCUUGAGCUGAAAGUGUGGCUGGAGCUAGAGGUGACAGAGAAGGUGUGACCAGCACAGCCCCAGCCAACAGCUCCUGCACUGCCCCCAGUCCUGGACACAGUGGAAACCAUGGAGUCAGAGACCAGGGUGUGCAACCUGGGCUCCUCUGCUUCCCUGGACAGGGACUUCUCUCAUUCAGCAGAGCAGCAGCCCAGCUGCUGAAGAGCCUGCUGCUACUGCUGCUGGGGGUGUUUGCCUGCCUGCAGGAGGCGCUGGAGAGCAGGAAAAGGAGCCUGUGAGCAGGGGUUCCAGCAGGUCCUCCUGUUCCCAGAGGUGGCCUCCUCCUCCAGGCAUGGAGGUUUGCCCUCAGCUGGGCAUCUGGGUCGUUUGCCUAUAAUGUGCUGCCCAGGAUGGGCUCUUCUUGACAGGAGGACAGGGGGUGAGGAGGCCAGGGAGCCUCUCCAAAGGAAGCUUUUAAACUCAGCAGCUACACCCCAGAAUCUCCAUGCCUCCACCUGCCCAAGGAUUUAUCCACAGCGCAACUAUGAAGUUUGAGUUUCUACAAUAACACUGAAAUAAAGUUUGACUUUUUGAAACUUC